GGCGGUUCUCAGGUGAUACACCCUGGAAUCAGGCUCCCUCCCCAGGGUGUGUCACCCAAGAACCACA
rfam:Myotis davidii contig196840, whole genome shotgun sequence.